rnacentral:rRNA from 1 species
AAGUGUGGACGCCAGUCUGCAUGGAGCCGGCCUUGAAAUACCACCCUUUAAUGUUUGAUGUUCUAACGUUGGCCCCUGAUCGGGGUUGCGGACAGUGUCUGGUGGGUAGUUUGACUGGGGCGGUCUCCUCCUAAAGAGUAACGGAGGAGCACGAAGGUUGGCUAAUCCUGGUCGGACAUCAGGAGGUUAGUGCAAUGGCAUAAGCCAGCUUGACUGCGAGCGUGACGGCGCGAGCAGGUGCGAAAGCAGGUCAUAGUGAUCCGGUGGUUCUGAAUGGAAGGGCCAUCGCUCAACGGAUAAAAGGUACUCCGGGGAUAACAGGCUGAUACCGCCCAAGAGUUCAUAUCGACGGCGGUGUUUGGCACCUCGAUGUCGGCUCAUCACAUCCUGGGGCUGAAGUAGGUCCCAAGGGUAUGGCUGUUCGCCAUUUAAAGUGGUACGCGAGCUGGGUUUAGAACGUCGUGAGACAGUUCGGUCCCUAUCUGCCGUGGGCGCUGGAGAACUGAGGGGGGCUGCUCCUAGUACGAGAGGACCGGAGUGGACGCAUCACUGGUGUUCGGGUUGUCAUGCCAAUGGCACUGCCCGGUAGCUAAAUGCGGAAGAGAUAAGUGCUGAAAGCAUCUAAGCACGAAACUUGCCCC